rnacentral:rRNA from 1 species
UUUAUUGGAGAGUUUGAUCCUGGCUCAGGAUGAACGCUGGCGGCGUGCCUAAUACAUGCAAGUCGAGCGAAUGGAUUAAGAGCUUGCUCUUAUGAAGUUAGCGGCGGACGGGUGAGUAACACGUGGGUAACCUGCCCAUAAGACUGGGAUAACUCCGGGAAACCGGGGCUAAUACCGGAUAACAUUUUGAACCGCAUGGUUCGAAAUUGAAAGGCGGCUUCGGCUGUCACUUAUGGAUGGACCCGCGUCGCAUUAGCUAGUUGGUGAGGUAACGGCUCACCAGGGCAACGAUG